UGGGCUGUGGCUCAGUGGUAGAACGCUUGCCUACCAUGCAUGAGGCACUGAGUUCAAUCCCCAGCACUACAU
rfam:Ictidomys tridecemlineatus contig016306, whole genome shotgun sequence.